rnacentral:rRNA from 1 species
UACGUAGGGACCAAGCGUUGUUCGGAUUUACUGGGCGUAAAGGGCGCGUAGGCGGCAAUUCAAGUCAUCUGUGAAAUCUCCGGGCUUAACUCGGAACGGUCAGAUGAUACUGCUUUGCUCGAGUGCGGAAGGGGCAAUCGGAGUUCUUGGUGUAGCGGUGAAAUGCGUAGAUAUCAAGAGGAACACCUGAGGUGAAGACGGGUUGCUGGGCCGACACUGACGCUGAAGCGCGAAAGCCAGGGGAGCAAACGGG